GGGGCGCCGGUGGGGGCAGGCCCCGCCCAAGGAGCGGGAGGGCGCGCUGUCCUCGGCGUUCAAGGCCCUGCCCGUGGGUGCCGUGCCUCCGCCACCCAGUGCCUCGCUAACCCCCAGAACCCUGGGCCGCGGACAGAAUAACUGUGGUUCCCAGGUAUUGCCCCAUCCCGGGCCCUGGCAUUUAAUGUUCCUCCUGCCAGAAACCCCCUUCCCGUCUUUGGCUAUUUGCCUUAGGGUCUGGGCUUCCACUCUUCUUGUGGGCUUUCCCAGAAACCACCCCCCACCCCCUCCCCGGCUCCACGGCCUCAGCGACCCCCAUAGGGGCACAGACUCUGGUCAUCCGCAACCUGCAGACUCCUAGCCCCAGAGUUCCAGGAGGGCACCCUUGCAGCAGCCAGCCUGGACCUGGCGCUUGCUUGCAUGGAUUUGCUGUAGAAGGAACAACUAACCCGAUGGAAUUUGCUCUCGUCUCUGUGUGCCCCAUCAAUGGACUGGGUGCCCCCCUCAUCUGAGUUCCUCCUCCUGUCCUGCCUCAGGGCCUGGGCUGUGGCCUCCAGGACUGAGCCUGACCUGAUCCAAGGGGACUCAGAGAGGCUACCUCCUGGAGCUUUUGAAGUCACCCAUCCUCCAGGCUCCAGACAGGUACCCCCAAAGUCUCCCGGCCCAGCUUCUUGGCCACAUAUCCAAGAUCCCAAGACUUUCCUGGGCAGUGCGAAUGUCUGUGACUUUUUCCGUGCCACGGACGACUGGAGCAUUUGGUGACACUUUCAUACCUUGCCUUGUUUGUAAAAGCAUAACAAAUACAUAGGAUUGAUUACACAGGAAGCCAGUUAACUUGAAAUACAGCUAUCGGGAUUUUUAAAGAUUACAUUCAUGAUGUCAUAAUAAAUGUGCUUCUUUAUUAAGCAUUAACAAGAUCCAGCAGCAGGUCUUAAAAGGAGUAGUGAGGAAGGGUCCUGAUAAAAGAGAUACAGGAAGGUUGGAGUCAGAGAGAGAGAAGUUGGAAGAUGCUUUCUUGCUGGCUUUGGAGAAGGAGGAAGGAGCCACAAGCUGAGGACGGUGGGCGGCCUCAAGAAGCUAGAAAAGA